GGCUGGGAGGGUUGUGCCCGUGGAGGGCGUGGCUUCCGGAGCGAACGCGUUAAGUCGAGCCGCCUGGGGGAGUACGGCCGCAAGGUUAAAACUCAAAUGAAUUGACGGGGGCCCGCACAAGCGGUGGAGCAUGUGGUUUAAUUCGAUGCAACGCGAAGAACCUUACCUGGCCUUGACAUCCACGGAAUUCGGCAGAGAUGCCUUAGUGCCUUCGGGAACCGUGAGACAGGUGCUGCAUGGCUGUCGUCAGCUCGUGUUGUGAAAUGUUGGGUUAAGUCCCGCAACGAGCGCAACCCUUAUCCCUUGUUGCCAGCGCGUGAUGGCGGGAACUCAAAGGAGACUGCCGGUGACAAACCGGAGGAAGGUGGGGAUGACGUCAAGUCAUCAUGGCCCUUACGGCCAGGGCUACACACGUGCUACAAUGGCGCAUACAAAGAGAAGCGACCUCGCGAGAGCAAGCGGACCUCAUAAAGUGCGUCGUAGUCCGGAUCGGAGUCUGCAACUCGACUCCGUGAAGUCGGAAUCGCUAGUAAUCGUAGAUCAGAACGCUACGGUGAAUACGUUCCCGGGCCUUGUACACACCGCCCGUCACACCAUGGGAGUGGGUUGCAAAAGAAGUAGGUAGCUUAACCUCCGGGAGGGCGCUUACCACUUUGUGAUUCAUGACUGGGGUGAAGUCGUAACAAGGUAACC
rnacentral:rRNA from 1 species